rnacentral:rRNA from 1 species
GACGAACGCUGGCGGCGUGCCUAAUACAUGCAAGUAGAACGCAGUUGCGAACGGGUGAGUAACGCGUAGGUAACUGCCUCAUAGCGGGGGAUAACUAUUGGAAAAGAUAGCUAAUACCGCAUACUGUGAGAUGGACCUGCGUUGUAUUGGCUAGUUGGUACGGUAAAGGCUCACCAAGGCGACGAUACAUAGCCGACCUGAGAGGGUUAUCGGCCCAACUGGGACUGGGUGACGGCUCAGACCCCUACGGGAGGCAGCAGUAGGGAAUCUUCUGAAAUGGACGGAAGUCUGACCGAGCAACGCCGCGUGAGUGAAGAAGGUUUUCGGAGCGUAAAGCUCUGUUGUUAGAGAAGCGUUAACUAACCAGAAAGGGACGGCUAACUACGUGCCAGCCGCCGCGGUAAUUC